GGAGGAAUCGCCUAGUGGCUAUGGCACAGCAUUGGAAAUGCUGCGAGCGCAAGCUCUCGUGGGUUCGAGUCCCGCUUCCUCCG
rnacentral:tRNA from 1 species